rnacentral:rRNA from 1 species
UACGAAGGGGGCUAGCGUUGUUCGGAAUUACUGGGCGUAAAGCGCACGUAGGCGGAUAUUUAAGUCAGGGGUGAAAUCCCGGGGCUCAACCCCGGAACUGCCUUUGAUACUGGGUAUCUAGAGUCCGGAAGAGGUGAGUGGAAUUCCGAGUGUAGAGGUGAAAUUCGUAGAUAUUCGGAGGAACACCAGUGGCGAAGGCGGCUCACUGGUCCGGUACUGACGCUGAGGUGCGAAAGCGUGGGGAGCAAACAGGG